GUCUCCGUGGCUUAGUUGGUUAAAGCGUCGGUCUCAUAUGAUGAUAUGAUUCAACCACAGGUUGGAGUCAUCCGAAGGUCGUGAGUUCGACUCUCACCGGGGACA
rnacentral:tRNA from 1 species